rnacentral:rRNA from 1 species
AGAAAGAAGAGUGGCGGACGGGUGAGUAACACGUGGGUAACCUGCCCUUUAGCGGGGGAUAACACUUGGAAACAGGUGCUAAUACCGCAUAAUCUUUUUUCUCGCAUGAGAGAAAAGUGAAAGACGCUUUUGCGUCACUAGAGGAUGGACCCGCGCUGCAUUAGCUAGUUGGUGAGGUAAUGGCUCACCAAGGCCACGAUGCAUAGCCGACCUGAGAGGGUGAUCGGCCACACUGGGACUGAGACACGGCCCAGACUCCUACGGGAGGCAGCAGUAGGGAAUCUUCGGCAAUGGACGAAAGUCUGACCGAGCAACGCCGCGUGAGUGAAGAAGGUUUUCGGAUCGUAAAACUCUGUUGUUAGAGAAGAAUAAGGAUGAGAGUAGAAUGUUCAUCCCUUGACGGUAUCUAACCAGAAAGCCACGGCUAACUACGUGCCAGCAGCCGCGGUAAUACGUAGGUGGCAAGCGUUGUCCGGAUUUAUUGGGCGUAAAGCGAGCGCAGGCGGUUUAUUAAGUCUGAUGUGAAAGCCCCCGGCUUAACCGGGGAGGGUCAUUGGAAACUGGUAGACUUGAGUGCAGAAGAGGAGAGUGGAAUUCCAUGUGUAGCGGUGAAAUGCGUAGAUAUAUGGAGGAACACCAGUGGCGAAGGCGACUCUCUGGUCUGUAACUGACGCUGAGGCUCGAAAGCGUGGGGAGCGAACAGGAUUAGAUACCCUGGUAGUCCACGCCGUAAACGAUGAGUGCUAAGUGUUGGAGGGUUUCCGCCCUUCAGUGCUGCAGCAAACGCAUUAAGCACUCCGCCUGGGGAGUACGGUCGCAAGACUGAAACUCAAAGGAAUUGACGGGGGCCCGCACAAGCGGUGGAGCAUGUGGUUUAAUUCGAAGCAACGCGAAGAACCUUACCAGGUCUUGACAUCCUUUGACCACUCUAGAGAUAGAGCUUUCCCUUCGGGGACAAAGUGACAGGUGGUGCAUGGUUGUCGUCAGCUCGUGUCGUGAGAUGUUGGGUUAAGUCCCGCAACGAGCGCAACCCUUAUUGUUAGUUGCCAUCAUUCAGUUGGGCACUCUAGCGAGACUGCCGGUGACAAACCGGAGGAAGGUGGGGAUGACGUCAAAUCAUCAUGCCCCUUAUGACCUGGGCUACACACGUGCUACAAUGGGAAGUACAACGAGUCGCAAAGUCGCGAGGCUAAGCUAAUCUCUUAAAACUUCUCUCAGUUCGGAUUGUAGGCUGCAACUCGCCUACAUGAAGCCGGAAUC